rnacentral:rRNA from 1 species
GAUGAACGCUAGCGGCAGGCUUAAUACAUGCAAGUCGAGGGGCAGCAGGACUGUAGCAAUACAGUUGCUGGCGACCGGCAAACGGGUGCGGAACACGUACGCAACCUACCCAAAACUGGGGGAUAGCCCGGGGAAACCCGGAUUAAUACCUCGUAACCUUUUUAAGUGGCAUCACUUGAUAAGUAUAGCUCCGGCGGUUUUGGAUGGGCGUGCGCCUGAUUAGGUAGUUGGUGCGGGGAACGGCCCACCAAGCCUGCGAUCAGUAACUGGUGUGAGAGCACGACCAGUCACACGGGCACUGGGACACGGGCAUGACGCCUACGGGAGGCAGCAGUAAGGAAUAGUGAGCAAUGGACGCAAGUCUGAACCAGCCAUGCCGCGUGAAGGAUGAAGGUCCUCUGGAUUGUAAACUUCUUUUAUGGGGGACGAAACCCGGAUAUUCUUAUCCGAUUGACGGUACCUCAGGAAUAAGCACCGGCUAACUCCGUG